rnacentral:lncRNA from 1 species
ACUCAUCCCUCCAAACCCUCCCUGACCCCCGCCUGCCGAGGGCGCCCGGCACACGCCGCAGCUCGGGCACCCUCCCCCUAGGGAGCCCGAGGAGGAAGACGACCAAUGUCACCUGCCCCGGCCACGCGAGUAACUUCUGAAAAGUUCUCAGGCAACUAGGUCAAAAGGAAACUCACCCGCGGGCACGCGCGCCCCGUCCCACUGCCACCUGCGCCCGGCUUUGGGGCGCCUGGACAUCUGGGGUAACCACAACGAGGCGGGGGAGGGGAAGCCUGCCCCCCCCCCGCCACCUCGCAGCCGUGGGCUCUCACUCCAGGCGCCAGAUCUCCAGUCGGGCUCGGAGGCCGGAUCCCGGCGUCCCCUCCGGAGGACCCAAGGGAGAUCAGCGGGGAGCUGGAGUGACAGCGCCACUCACCCGAGACGCCCCCUGCCCCAUUUCCCAUCCCGCCGCGUUCAGGAACCGUGGCACUCACCUAAGCUAGCAGGGCUCGCCCAGUUCACCGAAGCCACUCGUGUGCCGGCCCCAGGGUCGCAGCGCACACAGCGACCCGCAGUGCGCUCGGCCGGGCGGCCGUCGGUGCAGCCGGCCCAGGUCUGCGCGUCCGGCGGCGGCGGGAGAGACUGGCUCAGCCCCGGCCCCGCCCGCGGCUCCGCCCUCCUCGUCAGUGGAAAACUCCGGGGCUCACGGCGCUGACGCACGCCGGGCCUCCCGCCAGGCCGCCCCGCAGCCCGCAGCCUUCGGCCCCGCCCCGGAGGCACCGCCCCCUCCCCCGCCUCGAGCCUCCCCGCGGACUGUGACCGGGCCGCGACGCCGCUGCUCCGCGCUCGGCUCCUAAGAUCGCGGAGCCGAGCUUCGUGCAGAGCCGGGUCCUAGAGAUGCCCGCUUCUCCACGCCGAGCAGUCCCGAGCUGCAGACUGGGUAGACUGAGGCUGCGAGCGAUGGAAGCUCCUCCCCUGCCUCCACCCGCCCAGGGCAGAUUAUUAUCAAUUCAAUCUGAGGACCCUUCCCCGGCCCUCACCCCACCUCUUUUUCCCAGAUCCCGCAGAAAGUUAGCUCAGACUGGAGACCAGCCAGGGAUGAGGAGAGAAGAAAAGGUCAUCCUAGGGCCUGGCCUUCACCUCUGCCCUCGGGCCAGAGCCCUUACUCCGAACAAUACCUAAAGUAGAGAUUGCUGGAACCAGCUUCCCCACCCCCAUCCCUCCUUAAAAAAAAAAAAAAAAAGAAUCUGGUUUCUCCUAGGCCGGACCCUGGCUACUUACAGCGGAUUGCUGCCUCCUCUGCUCCCGCCAAGACCUUCCUUAGGCUCGCAGCCAACUCCCUGUACUACUAGGCAGAAGAAAGUGUGUUCUAGCAGUCAACUUCUCUCUCAGGAGCCCACCCGAGUCCUCGUCAGCCCACGGCAGGGCCAGUUCGACCCAGUACCUAGAGCGCUUUUCUCUCCCGUUCUGACUGCACCGCCUGGAACGUUUCACCCUCACUCUGCUCACCUGAGGGAAUCCCAACAACGUCUAGGAUGGCUCAGCAAGGACUGCCUCCUCCUCCUGGAAGCCUUCGUGGAAGCUCGACCCUCCCCCUCCCAGCCCCGCUCCCGCUGCAUUCUGGGUUCUUCUGACUGUCCUAGAUGAAUGCUGUCAGUGGCUAGUCC